GAUUUCUCCACUAAUUUUUCCGCGGACUGAAGUAAUAGUCUUUUCGAUUUCUUCACAGAAGCAGCUUUCAAAAAAAGAAACUAUAUGAUAGAAAGAGUGUCACGUCUGCGCAGUCUAUCGUGUCCUCCGAAUAGUAGGAGUUGGCGGGCCAAGUUAUUUGGGUGCUCGGAUAGUUUGUUUAAGUACUUGCGGCAAAGCUUCUUUAUUUCUUCUUUAACAGUAAGUAUAUUUAGGUCCUUGUGGAUGUUUGCGUUC
rnacentral:sRNA from 1 species